rnacentral:misc_RNA from 1 species
UGUCUCGUGAUGGGUGAGGGUUGAGGGCAUGCUGAUUGGGUUGUGGGGUAUCACAUGUGUGGUGGCCUGUGCGGUGCUGUGUUGCGUGCGUGUGUGCGUGGUGUGGUGUUCGUGUGGUGGUUGAGAACUGUAUAGUGGAUGCGAGUAUCUUUAUUGUUGUAUGUGUUUGUGCGACGUGGUGUUGUGCAAAGUUGUGUAGUGCGAUCGGUGGAUGCCUUGGCACCAAGAGCCGAUGAAGGACGUUGUGACCUGCGAUAAGCCCUGGGGAGUUGGUGAGCGAGCUGUGAUCCGGGGGUGUCCGAAUGGGGAAACCUGG